UCGUCUUCCAAGGUUGUUCGGGUUCCUUCAACGUCCCUUGGCAUAGCUGAUUUCAACGUUGAGAGCUCCAAGAACAAGGAAGGGUAUGCUGCCAUUGGAGGUGGUUCGCCUCUGCGUAGAAUUACUGAUGAGCAGGCUAAUGCGAUCAAGUUGGCUCUGCAAGGUCUACAAUAUCUUCCCACAAUCAGUUGGGCAAAAUCAUCAACGCAAGGUUUUAAAGAGUUAGUUGAUUGUGGAUAAGUAUUCAAAGAAAAUCAAGCACACUGCACACAUUCCUCGAUUACUUGGCUGGAGGAUAUGAGCUGAAUUUUAUGGUUGUUAUUGAUUUCACUGGUAUACCUUCUGUCUAUGCUAACCAUGCUUUCCUUUGGAUUU